UACGGAGGGUGCGAGCGUUAAUCGGAAUCACUGGGCGUAAAGCGCACGUAGGCGGUUUGAUAAGUUGUCUGUGAAAGCCCCGGGCUUAACCUGGGAACUGCAGGCAAAACUGUCAGGCUAGAGUCGUGUAGAGGGAGGUAGAAUUUCCGGUGUAGCGGUGAAAUGCGUAGAGAUCGGAAGGAAUACCAGUGGCGAAGGCGGCCUCCUGGACACAGACUGACGCUGAGGAGCGAAAGCAUGGGGAGCAAACAGG
rnacentral:misc_RNA from 1 species